GACGAACGCUGGCGGCGUGCUCCCCCCUGAGGGUCGAACGAUGAAGUUCCUUCGGGAAUGGAUUAGGGGCGAACGGGUGAGGAACACGUGAGAAACCUGCCUUUCAUUUUGGGAUAACUCCGGGAAACCGGGGCUAAUACCGAAUACUCCGUCUCGGUGGCAUCGCUGAGCCGGGAAAAAAUUUUGAUGAAAGAUGGUCUCGCGGCCUAUCAGCUAGUUGGUGAGGUAAUGGCUCACCAAGGCGACAACGGGUAGCCGGCCUGAGAGGGCGACCGGCCACACUGGGACUGAGACACGGCCCAAACUCCUACGGGAGGCAGCAGUGGGGAAUAUUGGGCAAUGGGCGCAAGCCUGACCCAGCGACGCCGCGUGAGGGAUGAAGGCCUUCGGGUUGUAAACCUCUUUCAGUAGGGAAGAAGCGAAAGUGACGGUACCUAAAGAAGAAGCACCGGCUAACUAUGUG
rnacentral:rRNA from 1 species